rnacentral:rRNA from 1 species
GAUGAACGCUGGCGGCGUGCCUAAUACAUGCAAGUCGAGCGAACAGACGAGGAGCUUGCUCCUUUGACGUUAGCGGCGGACGGGUGAGUAACACGUAGGUAACCUACCUAUAAGACUGGGAUAACUUCGGGAAACCGGAGCCAAUACCGGAUCAUAUUUCGAACCGCAUGGUUCGAUAGUGAAAGAUGGCUUUGCCAUCACUUAUAGAUGGACCUGCGCCGUAUUAGCUAGUUGGUAAGGUAACGGCUUACCAAGGCAACGAUACGUAGCCGACCUGAGAGGGUGAUCGGCCACACUGGAACUGAGACACGGUCCAGACUCCUACGGGAGGCAGCAGUAGGGAAUCUUCCGCAAUGGGCGAAAGCCUGACGGAGCAACGCCGCGUGAGUGAUGAAGGUCUUCGGAUCGUAAAACUCUGUUAUUAGGGAAGAACAAACGUGUAAGUAACUGUGCACGUCUUGACGGUACCUAAUCAGAAAGCCACGGCUAACUACGUG